CCAGUUUCUCCUCUCGGCCUCAGACAGCUUCAUUACACUGUUAAAAGAUCCUGAAUCAGAGCGGUAAUCUGGAUUAUAAAAGUGGCAGCCCUGCACCUCAGAUCGUGGUGUAACUGUGCUGCUGUGUCCAGCUCCUGUGUCCAGGGUCCAGUCUGGCCUACUGAAUGUCAUGGAAGCUAUACUGCAAUGUGCACGCACUGAUCUGUGAGGCAUACAGAUACAAAGCCACAGUUGCUGAGGAUCAUGGGUAAUUUAACCUGCCAAUUUCAGAAACUGACGAAAAAAAGGCUUUAUUUCUUAGAGUCGAAGGAGAAAUAAUUAAACGGAUGGCCUUAACAUUAACCCAUCCUGUUGCUGAGUUAUCAAGGACACUUUUCUUGUUUUUGUGUUGAGAAAUGUGGAGACAUGAAGGAGAGACAAUG